rnacentral:rRNA from 1 species
CGGACGGGUGAGUAACGCGUGAGAAUCUGCCUUUAGAUGGGGGAUAACGGUUCGAAAGAGUCGCUAAUACCGCAUAUGACGAAAGUUGAAAGGAGUAAUCCGUCUAAAGAUGAGCCCGCGUCCGAUUAGCUAGUUGGUAGAGUAAAAGCCUACCAAGGCGACGAUCGGUAGCUGGUCUGAGAGGAUGAUCAGCCACAAUGGGACUGAGACACGGCCCAUACUCCUACGGGAGGCAGCAGUGGGGAAUUUUACGCAAUGGGCGAAAGCCUGACGUAGCGACACCGCGUGAACGAAGAAGCCUCUUGGGGUGUAAAGUUCUGUCAGCUGGAACGAAAAAAAUGACGGUACCAGCAGAGGAAGCAUCGGCUAACUACGUGCCAGCAGCCGCGGUAAGACGUAGGAUGCAAGCGUUGUCCGGAUUUAUUGGGCGUAAAGAGUUCGUAGGCGGUUUGUUAAGUUUGGUGUUAAAGAUUGGGGCUCAACCCUGAAACUGCACUGAAUACUGGCAGACUC